rnacentral:rRNA from 1 species
CUUACACAUGCAGUCGAGCGGGGAAGGUAGCUUGCUACCUAACCUAGCGGCGGACGGGUGAGUAAUGCUUAGGAAUCUGCCUAUUAGUGGGGGACAACAUUCCGAAAGGAAUGCUAAUACCGCAUACGCCCUACGGGGGAAAGCAGGGGAUCUUCGGACCUUGCGCUAAUAGAUGAGCCUAAGUCAGAUUAGCUAGUUGGUGGGGUAAAGGCCUACCAAGGCGACGAUCUGUAGCGGGUCUGAGAGGAUGAUCCGCCACACUGGGACUGAGACACGGCCCAGACUCCUACGGGAGGCAGCAGUGGGGAAUAUUGGACAAUGGGCGAAAGCCUGAUCCAGCCAUGCCGCGUGUGUGAAGAAGGCCUUUUGGUUGUAAAGCACUUUAAGCGAGGAGGAGGCUACUUAGAUUAAUACUCUAGGAUAGUGGACGUUACUCGCAGAAUAAGCACCGGCUAACUCUGUGCCAGCAGCCGCGGUAAUACAGAGGGUGCGAGCGUUAAUCGGAUUUACUGGGCGUAAAGCGUGCGUAGGCGGCUUUUUAAGUCGGAUGUGAAAUCCCUGAGCUUAACUUAGGAAUUGCAUUCGAUACUGGGAAGCUAGAGUAUGGGAGAGGAUGGUAGAAUUCCAGGUGUAGCGGUGAAAUGCGUAGAGAUCUGGAGGAAUACCGAUGGCGAAGGCAGCCAUCUGGCCUAAUACUGACGCUGAGGUACGAAAGCAUGGGGAGCAAACAGGAUUAGAUACCCUGGUAGUCCAUGCCGUAAACGAUGUCUACUAGCCGUUGGGGCCUUUGAGCUUUAGUGACGCAGCUAACGCG